rnacentral:rRNA from 1 species
AUUAGCUUGUUGGUGAGGUAACGGCUCACCAAGGCUACGAUGGAUAGGGGAACUGAGAGGUUUAUCCCCCACACUGGAACUGAGACACGGUCCAGACUCCUACGGGAGGCAGCAGUGAGGAAUAUUGGUCAAUGGAGGCAACUCUGAACCAGCCAAGUCGCGUGAAGGAUGAAGGUCUUAUGGAUUGUAAACUUCUUUUGCAAGGGAAUAAAGUGGGGGACGUGUCCUCCUUUGCAUGUACCUUGCGAAUAAGGAUCGGCUAACUCCGUGCCAGCAGCCGCGGUAAUACGGAGGAUCCGAGCGUUAUCCGGAUUUAUUGGGUUUAAAGGGUGCGCAGGCGGGAUGUUAAGUCGGCGGUGAAAUUUUGCAGCUCAACUGUAAAAGUGCCUUCGAUACUGGCUUUCUUGAGUGUGGAUGAAGUAGGCGGAAUUUGUGGUGUAGCGGUGAAAUGCUUAGAUAUCACGAGGAACUCCGAUUGCGCAGACAGCUUACUAAACCACUACUGACGCUCAUGCACGAAGGCGUGGGGAUCAAACAGGAUUAGAUACCCUGGUAGUCCACGCAGUAAAC